AUCCUCUUGGCCUCUAUCUCAAUCCAAAGCGCAGCUCACCUCCACACGCUAAUGGCUUCCAUAUCACUGGACAUAGCCUCCACUUUCCUCUCCUUCACUUCUCGCAAUCAAAUCCCUCUCUCCAGAAUUCGGACCACUGUCCUUCCUCUUUUCUUAAAGGACAACCAAUCCUUAUCCCUCAAAUCCACACGCUCGUUUCACUCCAGAAUCGUUGCUCUCGGUUUCUCCAAACCCACUUUCAAUUACCGUCGCAGGUUCACCGUCUCUGCCUCCUACUCCACCACUGCUGCCCCUCAGAGUGAGGAUUCCGAUUUGACCACCAAGAUUCCAGCUGAUAAUCGGAUUCCGGCUACCAUUAUAACCGGGUUUUUGGGGUCUGGGAAGACAACAUUACUUAACCAUAUAUUGACUGCGGACCAUGGGAAGCGCAUUGCAGUUAUUGAGAAUGAGUAUGGUGAAGUCGACAUUGAUGGUUCUCUAGUUGCAGCAAAAACUACUGGAGCUGAGGACAUUAUUAUGUUGAAUAAUGGUUGUUUGUGCUGUACAGUGAGGGGUGAUCUUGUAAGGAUGAUCUCAGAACUAGUUGCUAAGAAGAAAGGGAAAUUUGAUCAUAUUGUAAUAGAGACUACAGGGCUUGCAAAUCCGGCACCAAUCAUUCAGACUUUUUAUGCUGAGGAUACUGUUUUUAAUGAUGUCAAGUUGGAUGGUGUUGUCACUUUGGUUGAUGCUAAACAUGUUGCUUUUCAUCUGGAUGAGGUUAAGCCCAAGGGAGUUGUCAAUGAGGCUGUGGAGCAAAUUGCUUAUGCUGACCGGAUCAUAGUGAAUAAAACUGAUCUUGUCGGUGAUAAAGAAGUUUCUUCUUUGGUGCAGCGGAUAAGGAACAUCAACAACAUGGCUCAUUUGAAGCGGACACAGUUUGGAAAAGUUGACCUGGAUUAUGUCCUUGGUAUUGGAGGCUUUGAUUUGGAGAGGAUUGAGAGUGCUGUCGAUGCUGAUGGUGAAAAGGAAGAUCAUGCCAGUCAUGACCAUCAUCAUGACCAUCACCACGAACACAACCACCACCACCAUCAUGAUGAACAUGACCAUCAUGAACAUCAUGAUGAUCACCAUUCCCACGAUCACGUUCAUGAUCCUGGUGUUUCUUCUGUCAGUAUAGUUUGUGAAGGGAUUUUAGAUUUAGAGAAGGCUAACAUGUGGCUUGGUACUUUGUUGCUGGAGCAUAGCGAGGACAUAUACCGGAUGAAAGGUCUUUUAUCUGUUCAAGGCAUGGAUGAGAGAUUUGUGUUUCAGGGUGUUCAUGACAUAUUCCAAGGCUCACCGGAUAGGCUGUGGGGCCCAGAUGAAACUAGAAUAAACAAGAUUGUGUUCAUAGGGAAGAACUUGGACGCACAGGAACUAGAAAAAGGCUUCAAAGCCUGUUUGCUAUGAUUGCUUACAAGGCUUCAUUAUGUUUCAGCUUUCAUCGAUUGCUCACCAUAUGGAGGGUCUGACAAAUGACAACUAAUCAAAUGAUCAUGGAUAUGCAAAUGGUUUUCACAAG
rnacentral:misc_RNA from 1 species